GACACUUUGGCCGAGUGGUUAAGGCGCAGGCCUGCUAUUCAUCAGAUUUCUGAUGAAGUCAGCCUGUGGGUUCGCCCGCCUGGGUUCGAAUCCCAGAGGUGUCG